rnacentral:misc_RNA from 1 species
UUAAGUUCAGCGGGUAGUCCUACUCGAUUUGAGGUCAAGUUGUCAGAGAGUGUCCUAAGACAGUUAGAAGCCCAGAGCUCCCAAUCGGCCACCCUCUUUCGAGGCGCCGGCGAAGACACUUAUCACGCCGUACUAUGUCCAACCAGGAGGUGCACUACUGCAUUUCAGGUGAGCCACCGUGAAGCAGCAACACCCAAGUC